UUUAAGUGUGGGCAAGGCGGCCUCACUUUCCCCUAGUCUAGGCAGGGGGCUGGUGACCGGCUUGUUUUGGUUUAAUUUUUUUUUUAUUUUAUUUUUUGUUUCUUAAACGCGACAUUAGGUCUUUUGCAAACGCCGGCUGUUCGCGGCGGGGCCAGCCCACCUCCUCAGCGCUCUCUCUCCGUCGCCGGGAGGGCUGUGGUGACGCUGUUGUUGUUUCCCUGCGGAGGCUGUCGGCGUUCCUCCUGCCCGCGUCCAAGAUGGUGGCGGGCGGGCGCCGAGCCGUUGUCUCUGUGCGCGGCGGCCUUGCUGGGGGCUGGGGGCGUUUCUCUCCGGUGUUUCUGCCCAUUUCUCGUGUAUUAUCUUCCUUGCUGGAAGCCCAGGGUGUUGUGGAGCAGGGGUGUCGGCAGCCCUCCCCGUGAGGAAAUCCGCUCCCUUCCCCCGCUGCUGGGCCUGGCCCGUCGGUGCAGCACCCUCGGCAGCAAUAGAACUGGAGGAGAGGGAGGUUUUGCCCGCCUGAGGUGCGCUGUGAGGCCUGUGCUGGAGCCAGGGCGUGAUAGCGCGCGCCUGCCGUUGCUGAGGGAAGGCGUGUACGCACUGUGCCUUUGAGGGACACGAGUGUCCAUAAGGCCUUUGUGAAUGCAUGGAGGAAAUCUGCGAUGGGGAGAAGGCAAGUUGUUAAACGUGUGAGAACUCCCCAAAGACACCUUGAAAGUCUGGAUACAGCUGUUUUGUUGAACUAUGGCCACAGCAUCAAUGAGGUUUAUUUUUAAGAGUGAAAUGGAAAGUUGGAAACACUGGGUCGAAACCUUUCCCAGGAACAGUGGUCACUUCCUGAAGACAUGGGAGGAGGAAUCAAGUUAAGUGCUUCUCUGUAAUUACUAAUCUUUCAAAGUUGCAUAGUCUUUUGACUACUGCAUAGAAAAUGGGUAUACACCAAUCAAUGACUUAUGAGCAUGAAUCUCUGUCAACAGUUAUCAGAACCACCCAAACCACAUAUAAAGCCUGAUUAUUACUGUGAGCAGAAGUCCACACUUUGACUUCUGUGAGGGAUAGGUAUGUACAUCAAAGAGCAUGAUCAAACCUAAGAACUGAGAAAGACAAACAGCAAUUAAUGCUGCAUCUUUAUUACAGUGGACCCGGUAUGAUCUUGAUUUUACAUCUGAACUAGGCUUCUGCUGUACAUGCAUUACUCUUCUGGAAAAAGAAGUCAGCUCCUUCCUAUUUCUCGUCUUUCAAAGCCAGUGUUGCACAACCAAGCAUCCAGACGUUGUAAUUCACGCUGUAGAGCAUCCUACCCACUGAAAUGAAUGGGAACUCUAAUGAAACUAAGAUGUAAGGAUGGCAGCAUCUACCUUAGAGUAAAAAUGGAAAUGCCAACUAUUAAAAAAGGCCACAAUAUACAUGAAAGAAGAACCAUGAGUCCUACUAUUAUGGUAUCUAUUAAUCUUAAACUUUACAGCAUUAAAAUAUGGGAAGUUUUUAUUUGUUUGAAACACAGGCCGUCUUUUGAAAAAGAUAUGAGUAGAAAACAAACAGGUCGUAGUACACAUUCUCCUUUUCAUCUCCUUUUUCAUCUCCCACUGUUUUCUGUGCAGGAAAAACCAAUACAAUAUGGUCCAAUGUCUGUAAAUGAUAAAGCAAAAAGCAUUCCAUUAAUUUAUUUCUGAUUUAGUCUGGGUUAUAUUGUUUCAUACAUGUUUGAGACUCUUCAAGUUGCUUGGUUUAUGCAUGCAGCACAUAUAAAUAUUAACACUUGGAUAUUGCAGUAUUGCUUGAGCCUAUUGAACAUUUUUUAAAAAAUAAUUUCUAUAUUGAAAAAAAACUUCUUACAAUUAACUAUGACAAGGUGUAGAAUAUAGUUCUUAUAGAAAUCUAGUUGUGUUGAUAAACAGAAAUUGCAUAAAUACUGAGACACUGAAGUUCAACAGCCAACUUGUUAGAUGAAGAAAUGCCCAGUUCUACUGGAGAACACAUCGGAAAGACUUUCAAGUAGGGAGCUGUACUCUGAUUCCUGCAGCCAUUCUCAGCUUUGUCAGCAUGACGGCUAGAAUAGAGUAAAUUUAACACCAGAAGAGCUAUGGUCAGUCCCAUUUCAGCCUUGCCUACCUUCAGUGAAAAGGGAACCAGAACUACUAAAAUACAGAUGUGUGGUUUUCUGCCACCUUUGAUAUGGAGACAAAAAUUCCUGGGAGAGUGUCAGUGUGGUUAGUUAGGACCUGUAACCUCUUCAACUGCUGGUACUCAGUAGAGGUGAUCUGCCUGACUGACUCCAAAAGCAAUAGUCCAUUGUUUGAACCACCUUGUCUCUCUCCUGCACGGAGUUACCUCUUCUGUGGGACACCGAUCAAAUCCAGGUGAUGUUGCACUUGAAUAAAUGAGAAAUUUUUGUGAGGUCCAUUUCUCCUGUUCUGCUGGGAUGGCAUGAACUCACAGUGGGAAAUAGAGUCUCUUAAAUCAACAUUGAGAUUGAGGUCAUGAAUGUACCUUGGGUUACUUUCUCUUUGCUUUUACCAAAUGUUGUACGUGAUUACUUGGUAGAAAAUAAAUGAAGCAAAGAAAGAAAUGGGGAGAGAUAAGGCUGUUAGGUAAUCCAAUCAACUUUCCUGCUAGUACAGACUUACUUAGCUUGUUUAUUAGUAUGUUUCAAAUUAUUUUUUAAAUAACUAAAAGAAUUCCUCUGAAAAAUUUGCACAAGCUCUGCUCUUCACUGCCAAUAAGAUUUUCUGACAUUUGGUCUUUCCCCACCCUCUUUUCAUUUACUACUACUUGUUCCCAUAUGUAGAAGCCCAAGUAUUUCCUCUCCAUCCUUAAGGUUUGCAUUACUUAAGUAUUUGCUGGCUGGAGACACGUCUCCAUGUACCUCUGCUUUAACAAAACUGGAUGUAUUAAGCUCUUUUAACCCUUCUCUAUAAAACCACUCUUCCAGAUAAUUCUUUCUGUUGCUCCUUAAAUUGCUUCAUUUGCCUCCAUGUUAUGAUGGAUGACACAGAAACAAUGCACAUACCAGCACUGAGUCUGCUAGGGAAAAGUUGUCAUUUUGGAAAAGUUUCAAUAAGCUUGAGCUGCCAGAAUGACUUUGCAUCACAUCAGUGCUCUGCAUCACUUGGCUGUGUUUUUGAGCACCCUAAAACAGGGUUUACUACCCAGUGGAUCUGUGGUGUGUCUUUUACUUGCUGAUACUGGACCUGUGUGCUGAAGGCAACCCUGCAUUGAGCACUAGUGGCUCAGGACUCUCCUGCUGUUUCAUUUUCUGUGCCAGCUUCAAGUCAUUGGAGGGCUUUGUUUCCAACAUUCGUAGCAUCGUAAAACUUUUGCAUGAAGAAAACAGAGGAGAUAUGAUAUAUUUGGAUUUUAAUAUUUCAGGAUUGUCUACAAGAUUUAUUUUCAGCAAACCCUGGUUACUUUUUACUCAGUGAAUAUUUUCAAGAUAAACGGGGGUAAAUUUGGGGGGUUUUAUUAUUUGUUUUACUUUGAUUUUCUGUUUGCUUAACCACUCAUCAUCAUAUGCUUUUUGUUAACCCAGUAGGAAAAAAUAUCCUCAAUUUCUGUAAGAAUUUUACAUUUUAGGAAUUAAAUGUAACAAUCCACAAGUUACUUUCUCAGAGAAAGGGAUGAUGACUUUUGAUUGGGCUUGUAAUUUAGGAUACACCUUUGCCCAGUGAGAGCCUGCUUUCAGCUUUGCCAUGUGGUUUACCAGUUCCCUCUAAUAAAAGCAAGGAUGCAGUAUUUUGCUGGCAAUAGUGCUAUCUGUAGUAUCACUACUGUGAGCUGCAGUGUGAACUUCUGCUGUGGAUACAUGCCUGGAAAGAUGCAUGAAAUAAGUACUGGCCUCAUUCAUUUGACCAUCACUUCAGGUUUCCCUACAUCAGUGUCAUGCAAUUGCCAUAUAAUUGUCCCUCUCUCCUGCUGUGAUCCUGGCACCAGGCAGAGUGGACUGAUCCGAUCUUGGGUGACCUAAUUAGUUGUGAUCAGCAUACAGGUUUGAUAUAUGAAAGGUGAAACCACGGAGGAGGCUGGCUAGAAAUGGGUGUUGUGUGGCUGUAGUAUAGUUCUAUGACGUGAAUGACAGACCAGUGUUACUUGACCUAAUGCAUUUGCAGUAUCCUUAUGCCCUGUCCCAUUCAGUGUUGUGCACUGGGUCAUAGAGAACUUGGGGGAUAGGACACAAAGGUCUCAAUCCCACCACAACCACCAGGUUAGCUUUGUGUGUAAGAGUACUGCCAGUGAAGGGAACUGCUCCUGUUCGCCCAUAUGUUGUUUAGAUUCCUUGCUAGUAUGCUCCAGACUUUCCAGAUUCAUUCCCCGAGGGUGCAGCAAUUCAGCCCUAUUUUGCUGUCAGCACAGUAUUACUGCCUCCUCCAAUGUUUGGCAACCUGGCAGUUUCUGGUGUAAUGGAUAGAUAUUUUGGUGUGACAGCAAGGUGUGUGAUAUUUAUUCUACCCAUACUCCACAUUAAUUCAGCAAAGCUGGAACUUCCUAACACGGCGCUUCUCUCAACCAUAGUCUGGUAGAAAUCCAAGACUGCUGACAUGGUAUAGUGUGGUAUGGUAUACCCACAGAAUCAUGCUGGGUAUCUGUGUAUCUGCUCAUUUUGUGGUAAAUCCCAUGUGUUCAAUUUUCUGCUUUUAGAGGAGGCAUCUCAUGCUGAAGCAUCCAUGACUGCAGAAUGAAUCCACUGAUUGAUUAGAAAGACAGAGAAAGGAGGAAGAAAUAGAAAAGGAAUGGGCCUGAACAAAGAAUAGAGGAACCAAUACCUUGUUCUGCCCAAAGAUACACAGAACUGUAUCCUUAUGUUCCUAUAGGUUUUCUGAGUGUUGAAACUUCAUUGAAAACCUGUUCUUUCAGUUAAAUGGGAUUCUACCAAAAAUGGUGAUAAACUCAGCUAUCUGUAUCUUUUCUGAUGAGAACAUCCAACUGCAUUGCAAUGAUGUGCCAGUGCCAAAGUGUUUCUGUGUGUAGGUGAAAAGAUGUUAAUUAAUACUCAGACUGGUGAGGUGCAACUGAUUUUCAUGGCAAUUUUAAAAUCAUCAGUAUGUUGAUUGUUUAUCCAGUUGUCUCCAUGCAGAUUCAGAAGCUCAGCCACAGACACCUCCAUCUGAAAUUCUUGGCCAGAGUUUAUUCAGUCCCAGAUUACCACCAAUGCAUGUGGAACCUAUGUCAUAAGGAGGCAUUUUUUAUGAGGUGCUGUUAAUUUCAAUGCACAAGCUGAACAGAACAAUAGAGGAAGCACGCAAAGGGGGCACACAUCAGCCACUGUGGUUUCUGGUUCAUGCCUGGGCCCCUGAUCCUCAAAGAAGGAGACCAAUGUCAGAGACAUCUGCACAUGGAGAUCAACUUGCAGGAUGAGGCAGGGUGAAAUUCUGGUGGUAGAAUUUGAUUAAUUGCCUUACGAUUUGAAAACAGUUCCAUCUGUUUCUUCCUGCUUUCUGUGCAUGUGGUGUGUCUUCUCUGUCUUUAAAAUCUCUCUUCUGGAAGAGCUUGAGGAGUUUGAUGAUUAGCUUCUUCUCAUUGCCCUUCAGACAGCUCUAGAUAUUUUCUCCAUCUUAACUCAGUUAUAUGCUCUAUGAUAUGAAGUAUGAGUAAGGGGAUGUCUGGAUUUUCCUGUCCUUUCAGGUAGCCUAUGUUAACAUUAGUACUGUCAUUCUGUGUACAGCUUCUCUGAUAUGCACUUCUCUUUUGCUCUUUGGUUUUCUCUUUCAUUUCUAUUUCUGGGUUGGAUUGUAUAAAUGAUGGCUCUUCACUGUUGUGACUUCCCCUUUGCUGCUGUGGGUUAAGCGUCUCUUUCAGUUCUGCAUGUAAAAGAGAAAAAAAAAGAUGAGACCAAAGGCUCUUAUGGUGCAGCUUUGUAGGUUUAGAAAGACCUUCCCUGAUAUUUUAUUGCUGUGGACUGAUUGACAUCACUUUAGCAUGCCUCCAAGUGUCUAUUAGCUCAUCUCUCACACUGAGAAGUAAAGGCUCCCAAGAAGCACUACAGAGAUAUUUAUCGGUGAGGGUUAGCCCCAGUAUAGACUGUACUAGUAUGAUCAUUCAAGGCUGUAUUCCCUCAGCUUCCAUGUUUGUUCGUGAUCGCUUCAUUUUCUUUUAAAAUUUGCUGUGCAGUAUUUUUUUGUGCUAUAAGGCUCUGGGGGAAACAGAGAAGAUGAGGUACAGAGCUCGUAAGUGUUGUCUCCUCUCUUUCGCUCUUCAGAGGAGAUACCAGAUCUGUCAGGGCAGAAAAAAAAGAGAAGUGGCACUGGCUGAGCAGGACAGGAGUAACACAGCUCCUGCCAGAUGCUUAAGUAACAGCAUGGGGCUGAGCAGUUCUGCAAAUGGGAUAUAGCCAGUACUUUAGGAAUUUGCUGCAGUUCCCAAUGCCAGCUCAUUCUAACUGGGCUAGCAUGUUGUACUGUCCUGUAAAAUUUUAUCUAGUGUCUAUCAAAUCCCAGUCUGCGUAAGUUGAAAUAUGGCUAAGUAUGAGAUAUCGCAGUCUUUUAUUAUACACUAGAGUACAAAAAGAUUCAAAAGAUGAAGUGCUGCCUUGGAUGAGGCGCUGUAGUAGGUUGGAGGGCUAAGGAAGCCUGAGUUGAGGCUCCUGAGUAACUAGUUGAUUUUCUUGAAGAAAUUUGUUUUUAAUAAGAACCUGCUGCUCUCCUUCCAGGUGCUGCUUUCCCAUCAGCAACACAAGAGCUGUCAGCGUUGCCUGUCCAAACUGAGGUAUAGAUGCCUGGGCAUACAUCAGGGUGGAGGUGGAAUUUUGUUAACAGAGAGAACUAAGAACCCAGAGAAGACAGAGCAUUUGGGAACUGAUGCCCUCUCUGGAAUAUUAAAAGACCUUCUACAUACCUCAGGGGUUAUGUCUAGAUGGAUGAGUGUGGAGAGUUGCUUGCCUGCUCCUAUACUUUGAGCUACCAGGCUGCAGGCCAGCUCUGAUAUGAAAACUGAAACCACAGCAUUGUGACACUGUGCUUGUAUUUACCAUAACUGUUCUCUCUGCAGGACUUAUCAACACAGCUCUGAGCUUUUGGUAAGUGCAGUUACCUGAUACACAGACCAGUCUGGAUAACAUCCAUCUGGCUCAGACUGUAAGCAGCUGCAUGCACCACCCUGCACGGGCACUUUUCGUGAGUUGCAGUAGUCAGCUCCCACACAGCUACUGCAGCAGUCGUACACAGAUACAGUGAGUUGCUAGUCACUGUGCAGUGGAAGCAAACUGUUCCUGUGACAACAACACUCUUAGCAUAUAAUUUCAUGUUUCAUAGUAUAUAAUCCCUUUGAAUUGUUCAAGUAAAAUGUAAAAAUGACAAUAUAUUGAAACCAAAUGAAGAAAAAAUUAAAACCAGAGCAGCUCUAAACUGACAUAUUUAAAAUUACUUUGAAAUGAAAUUAAGCUUUUCAAUAACAAAUGGGUUUCUUGUGGCUCCAAAACAAACAGUAAGGAAUGAAAUACAGACUUAUAUGUGCAUAAAUGAUUUAGGUGGCGAAUGGGGAAGAGAUGGUCAUAGAGGGCUGAGCUGAAGAAAGUACAUUUGCAAGUUCCUGAAAAACCCAUGUAGGAGAGAGUUCCACAGAAAAACUGAAUACUAUGACUCAGCUUGAUCCAGAUAAGGUUUUCAUAGGGGAAUAAAAGGCAAAACCUUUGAUCUUGGUUGCUGUGAUAGAAAAUUGAGUAAUAAAUUAUGGUUCUGUUAAUGUCUUAAUCAUAGCUUAUACAUAAUUUUCUCUUGCCAACAUUCCUUUGCUUCUAGUUGUACUUUGACACAGCAUGAUUGCAUGAGUGUCUCAAGUAAACUCAAUAGCUCUUCCAGGAGGAGGCCUGACUCCUUGUAGCCCACCAAAGCUGGAUGUGUCAGAAGAAAGGGACUGGAUGAAAAGCAGCCAAGGGGACUUUCUGGCUGGGGAUUGUGUAGCUAGCCAUCAGCCUGCUUUCAUGGAAACACUAAUAAGAGAAACAUCCCCAGGGAACCCUGUGGGCAAAUGUCAUCAGAUGGAUCUAGGGAGUUCAGCUUCUUCCUUAAGCAACAUCUGCUGGUAUUGGAAGUAUCCAGAAAGCCACACCACACUUAAAAAUUAAACAAAACAAAAAACAAUCUGCAACAGGAAGAACAACCCAAGGUAAGUUAGCUGCAAAAAUCUGCACUUUAACAUAAAAGCUUCAUGAAAAUGUUGCGUAGCAGCAGUCAUGCCAGAUAGAGAUGAUUCAGUAUCAUAAUUGAGUCUGAGCUGAAUGAGAUCUGGUCAUGUCCAGAACUUUCAAGUAUUAAACUCUUGAUCCUGCUCAAAACAUGAUUAUUUACUAUGCCUUCUGGUUUACCUGCACAUCGCUCCUAAAGUAUAGGGAAAUCAAAUCACUUAAAAAUUUUGGUAAGUGAAGCUUUCUUGGAUUCUUGUGUUAGAGUCUUGUGAACUAGUUAAAGGCAGAAAACAGAUACAAAAUGGGUACAUUGAUCGAACGGCAGGAAGAGGGAAUACCAAGGCUUUGAAUAGAAAACCUAUAAAUUUAUAAGAAAAUAUAUGAGAAAGCAUAUUUUUGAAACUAUUAUCCCUAAUAAACAAACAAACAAAAAAUGUAGUGCUACAGUGACAUUCUGUGAAAGUCUCAAUUUUGUGAUUGAAUUACUACAUUUUGUGAUUGAUAAAUAAGUUGGUGCCAUAGUGACUACCUGUAUAGAAAGCUGUGCAAGUUUCUGGAGCCCAAGUGAAAACUGAGUUAUUUAUAGUUUAACAUUCAAUUUCUUUUUAUGCUCCAUAUCUUUGAAACCAGUGUCAUUUUUAGCUCGUCAAAAUACAGAGGCACCAGUUUUGUUUUUCCAAACCUAUGUAUUUAAGGAAGGGUGUUUAAAUGGUGCUGGCAACCUUGUAUUUCUAAAUGUUAGUGUUCUGGUUUUCAUCUAAAUAAAGAAAGCAGGAUUUACAGUUGAAAAAUAAGUUUGUAGGCUCAAAAAGUACAAUCGGAAAAAAUAUGUGGAGAAACAAAAAUGCCAAUCAACAAUAUCUGUGUUAAAAUUGGACCAUAACACCUGCUGCAAUGUUACUGUUACCAGUGCAGUUGCUGUAGAAAGCAGAGUACCAGGGCCAAGUACAGAAGCAAGAGGAAUUAACUUUUAGCUACUCCAACAAGGCAGAGCCCUGUGAAUCACACUAGGAAGCAUAGAUCAAAUCCUCUUAUGUAAACAUCAUACAGGGCUGGCACUAAUCCUCCUCACGCCCGAGGAGGACUGCUGAUGUGGCAUUCUCCAAAGCACAUUUGCUUUGCGUAAUUGUGGGCAGUCGUUCUUGGGCACAGGAGGCCUAAGUGUAAGCCUUCAUAUUGUCUGCUCGGGGUGAGCAAAACUAGAUGGGGAAAAGCAAACUCUGGACAUUGCCAUGGUCUGCUAGGGCCACCUCAUACACCUCUUGUCAUCGCUGCUGUCCACAGAGACAGGACAUCCUUCCCCCAGCACACCAAUGUCUCAUGCCUGGGUCCAAGCCCAUUAAGAGCUGGGUGGCCCAUCUCAGUCCCAGGUCCUGCUGCAUCUCUGGAGUCAUGUCAUUGGUCUCCUCCUGGGUUUCCCAGCAGCUGUCUGCUUCAGUGCAGAAUGCUGAGGACUCAUCUCCUGUUUCUCACCAAUGUUUAACUUGCUGAAUCAGAACUCCAUGAAAUGAUUCAGACCUGGUUUCUGGUGACUAAUACUGGGCACUCCCUUCCUCCUAGGCAGUGGUAGCUCCUCAGUGCUCCCAAGCCCUGUUCAGCCAGGCAGCUACAAGAUUGGAGACCAAAUGUGUUGCUGUCCCACUGAACAAGUGGUGGCUGGUUUUUGUUUAUACAGCAAUGCGAAUUUUUAGUCUGAACUUAUUUUUUUUCUUUUCGGUCUGUGCAGCUUUAUGAUCAAACAGUAUAAUCCCUGCACGCACGGAUCCUAUAGUUUAUAGAGCUGGUCUUGAAGAAAGUCUGGGUGGGGUACUGUGAAAUUCCUGUUGUUGCUUUUUUCAUUCAUCUGGGAUCAGGUGUGGAAUAAAGUAAAUAUCUUAGGAUGAAGACUUUAUUACAGGCAUAGUUUUAUCUAUGUAAAGCUUUCUUCUACCAUGUUAUUUUUUUAUUCACACAAAGAAGUCUAAAACUUAGAGGAGCACUUUGAGUAAGAGCUCUGGCCCAACUUCAUUUUGCCUCUCCUUACCCAUCAAACACAAAAAAGUGUAAUAUCAUACAAACACAGCAAUUUCCCACACAGAGAACCAUACAGCAUCACUGCCAGGUGCUCUCUGCAACUUUUCCCUAUUUUGUUCAGCAAGAAUUUGAAAGCAUUAGCAGUUUGAUCACUAUUGUAAUUUCCAUGGUUGCAGGAAGCCCAGCUGUCCUUGCAGGCUCCAGCAUGAGACUGCCUGCUCAAGUCUGGGAAAUACCCCACAUUCUUCAUUCUAGAUUAUCAGUGAGACAGAAAUGUUUGUUCUGCUGUCCAGGUCUAUCCAUCGUGUGCAAUUUGUCUCUUUAAAGUUUCCGUGCAGAAGCCACUGACAUCCCCAGAGAGUUAAACCUUCUUAGCUAAUCUUCUAAAAAAGCUUCAGAGACCUUUUGGCCUAGGCUGAAUCUUCCUCCUAUGGGUUUUCUUGGGUAUCUUCAGAUUUUGUCUCUUAAAUUAGAUAAUUUCUCAUCCUCUGAAAUAUCUCUGGUGUAUGCAUGAAUAUGAAAGGUACUCUGCAGACCUUGUGGUGGUUUGUGCUCUGUCUUAAUCUGUCAGUGUCAGUGUAACUGGAUGAUGCAGACUCCCGGUCAAAACCAAUAACACAUUCAGCUCUUGACUGCAGGAAAGUUUGCUGCUAUUUGGAAUUACAUUUCUUACAAUUAUUCCAAAGCUUUGGCUCAGUUGUUCAGGAAGCUGCUGAGUAGGAUUUUUUUAAUAGUUCCAGUAUGGGAAGUUCAAGACAAUGUAGCUGUGGUCAGGCCAUUUUCCACCACCCAAUGUAAAACCUCACAGUUAUCCACUGUGACACGAAAAAAAAAAAGCAAAGGCACAUUGUGGUAUGUCACCUGAUACUACACCCAGUUGCAUUGCUCAAAUCCUUGCAAAUUUAAGGUAAAUGGGUUAUAUUAGAGCAAUAGCUUCUAUUCUUUGUCUUCUGUGAAUAUUUCCCUAAUACCUGGGCAAAGCGGGAUAUUUCUCACUUCUUUGCCAUGACAUGCUGUGAAAUGUUUGGCUGUUGUCCUUAGAGUCUGGUAAUGUCAAUCUCUUUUUUUGUUCUUACUUAGAGCUCAACUUUUGAUGCCACAUGAGGCAGCAUCCUGACAAAGAGGAAACCCGAUGGCACAGCUGUAGUUUCAAAUACUCCAACAGGUUUACGAAGGCCACUAUUGCACGGUGGCCUAGUUUAGAACUGUCACGGGGAACAAUUAAUCUUUGUCACUCCAUACUCAUUCUAGAAGCACUUGAAGCCCAAAGAAAUCCCUGGAGCCACAUUUCUUCCUGCCAGCUCUCUGUAGAGGGGCUCAGUUCUGCUCCAGAGCACAUUUACUCGCUUCAGUAGCCCAGAACCCCUCCAGGGUUGCUACAUGAAGGCAAUUCCCAGUACAGUAGCAAUAGAAAUACCAAUCACACAACAUAAUCCACUGAGUUUUCACACACCCUGAAGCUGAUGGAUGAUGAAUUUCUUUUGGCCUUUGCAUUAGCCGGUCAUUAGUAGCUCCUGGUGUUAUUCAGGCAGUACAUUUCCUUCCCCUUCAGCCUCCUAAGUAUUUUCCAUGGAUCAUAUUUUCACCAAAUCACAACUCUUCAGCUGUUAAUUUCUGCAGAGAGCCUGGACAGCUCUUCACAUGUGUCGCUCCAGUUGUUGGGUGCCGACAUCUCUGUAGCUCCUGCUUUCCUGGAUGCAGCUUCCCUCUAUUUGGGCAACUCCAUCUCCUUUGGCCUUUGUCUCUACAUCAUCUGCGAAUACCACCUGGCCCAGGUGUCCCUAAGAAACAGAUUCUUUCACCUGACCCAUGGGAUGCCUAUGAAUGCAUUGCAGUUGGGCCUUUUCCAACUAUUUAGUCACUUCACUAGAAAUGUUUCCUUGAAAUGCGGCAUCUGGUCUAAAUGACUCACCCUGAGGCUGGGAAUUCACAGCUGAUACCUUUAAAAAACACCCUAAAUUUCUGUCUCUGUUUAUAGCUCUGUCAGAAGCCUGUUCAUGGCAUUAUCAGUGAUGUUAUUUUCCACAGCUGACAAAGUAUGUUACCUUUCUGCAAACUCUUUUCAAAGUAAAUGUUAAUACAAAAGUUUCUAGUCUCCCACUGGGCACACAAUCUGCCUGUAUUACUCAUUCCAAAUUCAAUACACAAAGUUCAGCCUCAUCAAAACUGUCUUCUGACCAGAAGCAAAGGGAAACCCCCAGCAAAAGCUUCCUCAAUGCAAAUAACCGCCCCUGUGGAGGUUGCCCUUUUGCUGCUCUUCUGUUUGCUGUUUAAUCGGCAUUUCCAAGGAGCCAAAUUUCUGCUUUUUUCCUUCCUGCAAGAAACAGAAAAGAUUUAUAAGGCUCUGCUUUGCAAGAUGCACGGCCUACAUAUUAAAAAUUGUGACAAAAGAUUUUGGCCUUGACAUCCAGAAGCGCUGUUAAGAUGCUGUCCUGCUUUAUCUUUCCCUUCAGAGAGUAUUAGCUUAGUGACUGGAAAGCCCCCCUACUCAAGGCCAACAAACUUCUUUUUAGAAGUACUUUUUCUGUUUUGUGCCCACUGCCUUAAGUGCAAAGUACACAAUGGCUACCAGGGAAAAGCCCAGCAUGGAGAGCAGCACUACCCUCCUUUACUGCUUCUGGCUCAGAGGCAGCAAUUAGGGUAUAAAGCUGGAUAACGUGUUAUUAAUUAAAUACAGCUCCAUCACUUGGAGGAAGUGCUGUCUGCCCUAAGAAGUUCAAACUACUUAUUCCCUCAGCUGCCUAGGCACUGGGUGUUGCAACCUAGAGGCAGCUGAGUUGCUAGAAAGUUAAUGGUUGAAUUAAAGACCUGCUCAGGUUUUUGCGAGGAAGGCCUAAGUCAAGUCAAGGCAAUGAUGGGACACUCAGAAGACUCUUCUGAACCUGAAUCUGGCCCUUAAACUGGGAGCUAUCCCUGCAGACUCCUACUUUUAGGUGACCAGACUUGCUGCUAAUAUACUUUUCUUGAUAAAUGAAUGGCAACUAAGGCAAUUUGCCAAACUGUCUUGUCCUCUUUCUUAGAGUGAGAGAAUCACUCACACCUCUGCCAGUUUGUUUACUGUGUGGUCAAAGAUUUGUAGCGUGAUCAAAGGCACUGAUCCAGGUGGGUUACCAAUACUUUUGCAAUAAAAUAAAGGCUAGAAUAAUUUCUUACUGUGGCAGUAAAGUCUCACUUAACUUUAUAAGCUCUUUAAUGUAGAAUGACUUUCAUAUAAUACAACAGCUGAUGUGUAAAGAUAAACAGCAUUAUUUUAUUUUUUCUGUGACUCAUUUGACAUCAGUCCACAUUUAUUCAUACGUUGUGGAGCAUAAUGAUAGGUAGAAAAUUUAUUUUAGUUACCAAGCAAAUGAAUAUUUUAGUUCAUUUAAUUUAUAGUGUAUAUCUAUCUUUGUAGUAAAAUGUAGACAUUUGAGGCCAAAGUCUUGUCUGAGGCCCAUGGCUUGUGAUCUCAGAUUUGUAGGCAGCAGACAGCUUUUUUUAUUGCUUUUUGUCUAUGGGAGAACUAGAGUUAGUAAUGCUGGUAAAAUAGCAGCUGCUGAACUUUAUUUCCAUAUGAUCUAGCAAUUAUAGCACAUACCAUCACCUGAUAACUUAGUUGUUAUUUUUUACAGUCCUCACUCUGGUGGUUUCAGAUAUUUGAAUUCUUUCUCCUUCUCCCAGUGUAUCAGAUGGCUCUAAACAGUUGGUGUGGUCCAAGAGACCCAAUACAGAAAGCUCUGCUUUUUUUCUUCUCUUCAUGGGGAAAUUGCUUAGUAAGCAGUGCCUUCAGGGCUCAUGAAUAGAAAUACUGGCUGCAUGUCCAAGACUCCUGUCUCUGUGCCUAUCUCCUUGCUCAAGGAAGGCCAGUUUUCUUAAUUUUUUUCCAUCAUUCUGAGUGUGAGCGUUAUUGAUCCCCUGUUGCCAAAGAUAUCCAAGAUCUGUCCAGCCAUCUGCUAUACCCCUAAGACUGUGAUGCUGCACCUCCCAUCUCUGUGAUGGAACUUUGGCAGCCUGUGGUCCCAUCACACCUGGUUAUCCUACUGCCUUCAACUUACCUAGCAUAUUGUAAACUUUUUAUUAUCAGUAAAGACUCUGACAAAAGAGGAACCCAGGAAGUUAUACAAGUUAAAAAUUACUCAAUUAUAAAAGCACUUAUCUUCUAAAGUGAUCAAGAGAUCAGUCAUGGACUAUUCCUCUUACUCUUUCUUCCAGCUACUAGACACUUCCACAAAUACUAUAUAAAACCAAUAAGCAGCUAAAUGCUGUAUGAUGCUGAAGAAUUUAUAUAAGCCUGUUUCAGUUCUGCAAUGUGUGCCAUUCCUAUGAAUCCAGGCAUGAAGAGCAAAAACACCUGUAUUUUAAAAAUGCUAAAAGAAAUUACUUAAAUACAGCUAUUGGAAGUGGAGCAAAGGAUGCCAGCUUCAACAGGAAAUCGACUUUUCUGGGUGUUCACAAAGUUGUGCUUUCUGCUCGUCUUACUUUGUUGAUUUUCUGUAUCUCCAUGGUCCCACCACUUUUUGUACUUGACUGCUGAACAGCUUUUGGUCAUGGGCUUCUUUUGACUAAACAGACACAGCUGAAGUUUCCAUGCUGCCUGAAUUCUUUAAUUGGAAAAGACUCAAGACAAAUAUGAGAGGCCACCAGAUUCCUUCCUGUCAUCUGUAAGUAAUUUUCAAAGACUACAGAGAACGUUGUAGACAAGUCAAGUUUUUAGUAAUCUCAGAAGGAGAGAGGGAAUAUCCUAAAGUAAAUACCAAGUAGUAUAUGUUGUCUGUCCUGGGAGGCCAACAUGCCAAUCUAACUGAAAAUAUGCUCUUCAUUAGAAAACUGCUUGCAGCUUUAAUCAGCUUUAGCUGAUUUUUUUUCAGAGUAACAUAUUUACCAAGGUGCAGGGCAACCUUGAGUAUAACAUGACCUCUCACUCUGUUUUAGUAGGAAAAAAAAUCAAAUAUCAUUUUGUGCUGAAAAUUCCCUUAAUUAUCAUUGCAACACACAACAGACCUACUUCUGACAAGCCAUCCCUAAUGCCUUAUGGAGUUAGGAGAAUUAAUGUGAAACAGGAAGUAUCUGGAUUGUAAGGGCUGGGCUUGUUCUCAGACAAGACAGUCAGUGGUUCCAUGUGAAGUCAAGAAAAAAUCAGCAAAUAAAAGUUGUACCUCUUUAAAUCUUGAAGGAUAUUUACAGGAGAAUUUCUGGAGAGGAGUGUACAGAAAUGACAGUAAAGACUUCUUCAGUAAA